ACUAGAAAUGGUCGCUAAUACCGGAUACUUAUGUUAAUCGCAUGAUUAGUAUAUAAAAGAAGCGUUUGCUUCGCUAGAGGAUCGGGGUGCGUAACAUUAGCUUGUUGGUGAGGUAAAGGCUCACCAAGGCGAUGAUGUUUAGCGGGGUUGAGAGACUGAUCCGCCACACUGGGACUGAGAUACGGCCCAGACUCCUACGGGAGGCAGCAGUAGGGAAUUUUCCACAAUGGACGAAAGUCUGAUGGAGCGACACAGCGUGCAGGAUGACGGCCUUCGGGUUGUAAACUGCUGUUAUAAGGGAAGAAAAAAUCAUAGAGGAAAUGCUAUGAUCUUGACGGUACCUUGUCAGAAAGCAACGGCUAACUAUGUGCCAGCAGCCGCGGUAAUACAUAGGUUGCAAGCGUUAUCCGGAAUUAUUGGGCGUAAAGCGUCUGUAGGUUGUUUGUUAAGUCUGGUGUGAAAACUUGGGGCUCAACCCCAAAUUGCAUUGGAUACUGGCAAACUAGAGUUAUGUAGAGGUAAGCGGAAUUCCU
rnacentral:rRNA from 1 species